rfam:Sedimentitalea nanhaiensis strain CGMCC 1.10959 genome assembly, contig: Ga0079838_124
GGGCACCUGCGGGGGCCUGAACACAGAGGCGGAGAAAUCCGCCGUAGCUUAACGGAAGACAGAAA